AUGGACUCUAGUCUCGUCUUCGGUCCCACAGUACAACCACAUGCAGUGGCUCCGGAAUUGAAGGGGUUGGAUGCGACGCCUGAGGAAGACCUCCAGAAGAUCCAUGCCCGUCACCCCCUCCCGAACCAACUGCACCACGCGCUCCAUCAACAUCUUCACGUCGGCUUUCUCCUCCGGAAUCAGCUUCAGAGGGGAGGGCUUGUUCACUCGGUCCAUGGUAAACGGAGGGAGUCCACUCGACUGCCCUGGCGUCGACUGGACCUGGCAGUAGAACCAAGUCGACUGCCAGCCUCUGACGGACUCGGGAAAGGUCAUGGGCGGGAAGGUGCUCUUAUUCCUCACCUGGAUCCCCAGGCCCCCACACAUUUGGACGACUCGGGUUUUCUCAUCACCUGGGCUCGCCUUCUUCACGGUCUGAGAGCGACACGUGAAGAUAUGUUUGAACAAACCCCAGUGCGGUCGACAGCCCAAGAAACCCUCACACAUGGACACGAAUGCAGCAAGAUAGGCAAUGGAGUUUGGGGUAAAGUGGUGAAGCUACGCUCCAAAGAAAUUCAAGAAGCCACGGAAGAAAAUACUUGGCGGCAAGGAAAACCCACGAUCAACAUGAGUGGCCAAAAGCACACACUCACCCUCUUCUGGCUGUGGAUGCCACUCCUCCCCCGGCAACCUCGCAGCUCCGUGAGGGAUCAAGCCCUCGUUGGCCAUGUCGAGGAGGUCCUUCUCUGUGAUGGUCGACUGGAUCCAGUCUCCUUGGACCCAGCCCUUCGGCAGGCGGGACCUGGACGAGGACCCUCCGCGGCUGGUGGAUCUCCCCUUCGCCUUCUCCGACGCCGACGCCUUCUUGGCGCGCUCCAGCGCCGCCGUCUUCUCCUUGGCCAUGGUCGCCGGAGAGAUGCGCGAAGGGAAGUGGUGCGGGGGCGAGAGCGAGCAUGCUGA
rnacentral:rRNA from 1 species